GACGAACGCUGGCGGCGUGCUUAACACAUGCCAGUCGAACGGAAAGGCCCUGCUUUUGUGGGGUGCUCGAGUGGCGAACGGGUGAGUAACACGUGAGUAACCUGCCCUUGACUUUGGGAUAACUUCAGGAAACUGGGGCUAAUACCGGAUAGGAGCUCCUGCUGCAUGGUGGGGGUUGGAAAGUUUCGGCGGUUGGGGAUGGACUCGCGGCUUAUCAGCUUGUUGGUGGGGUAGUGGCUUACCAAGGCUUUGACGGGUAGCCGGCCUGAGAGAGUGACCGGCCACAUUGGGACUGAGAUACGGCCCAGACUCCUACGGGAGGCAGCAGUGGGGAAUAUUGCACAAUGGGCGGAAGCCUGAUGCAGCAACGCCGCGUGCGGGAUGACGGCCUUCGGGUUGUAAACCGCUUUCGCCUGUGACGAAGCGUGAGUGACGGUAAUGGGUAAAGAAGCACCGGCUAACUACGUG
rnacentral:rRNA from 1 species